GGGGAUGGGCUCUGGCUCACCAGUAGAGCGUCUGCUUGGCAUGCAGAAGUUCCCAGGUUCAAUACCUGGCAUCUCCA
rnacentral:tRNA from 1 species